AGCGUACACGGUGGAUGCCCUGGCAGUCAGAGGCGAUGAAGGACGUGCUAAUCUGCGAUAAGCGUCGGUGAGGUGAUAUGAACCGUUAUAACCGGCGAUUUCCGAAUGGGGAAACCCAGUGUGUUUCGACACACUAUCAUUAACUGAAUCCAUAGGUUAAUGAGGCGAACCGGGGGAACUGAAACAUCUAAGUACCCCGAGGAAAAGAAAUCAACCGAGAUUCCCCCAGUAGCGGCGAGCGAACGGGGAGGAGCCCAGAGCCUGAAUCAGUGUGUGUGUUAGUGGAAGCGUCUGGAAAGGCGUGCGAUACAGGGUGACAGCCCCGUACACAAAAAUGCACAUACUGUGAGCUCGAUGAGUAGGGCGGGACACGUGGUAUCCUGUCUGAAUAUGGGGGGACCAUCCUCCAAGGCUAAAUACUCCUGACUGACCGAUAGUGAACCAGUACCGUGAGGGAAAGGCGAAAAGAACCCCGGCGAGGGGAGUGAAAAAGAACCUGAAACCGUGUACGUACAAGCAGUGGGAGCCUCUUAAUGGGGUGACUGCGUACCUUUUGUAUAAUGGGUCAGCGACUUAUAUUCUGUAGCAAGGUUAACCGAAUAGGGGAGCCGAAGGGAAACCGAGUCUUAACUGGGCGUUAAGUUGCAGGGUAUAGACCCGAAACCCGGUGAUCUAGCCAUGGGCAGGUUGAAGGUUGGGUAACACUAACUGGAGGACCGAACCGACUAAUGUUGAAAAAUUAGCGGAUGACUUGUGGCUGGGGGUGAAAGGCCAAUCAAACCGGGAGAUAGCUGGUUCUCCCCGAAAGCUAUUUAGGUAGCGCCUCGUGAAUUCAUCUCCGGGGGUAGAGCACUGUUUCGGCAAGGGGGUCAUCCCGACUUACCAACCCGAUGCAAACUGCGAAUACCGGAGAAUGUUAUCACGGGAGACACACGGCGGGUGCUAACGUCCGUCGUGAAGAGGGAAACAACCCAGACCGCCAGCUAAGGUCCCAAAGUCAUGGUUAAGUGGGAAACGAUGUGGGAAGGCCCAGACAGCCAGGAUGUUGGCUUAGAAGCAGCCAUCAUUUAAAGAAAGCGUAAUAGCUCACUGGUCGAGUCGGCCUGCGCGGAAGAUGUAACGGGGCUAAACCAUGCACCGAAGCUGCGGCAGCGACGCUUAUGCGUUGUUGGGUAGGGGAGCGUUCUGUAAGCCUGUGAAGGUGUGCUGUGAGGCAUGCUGGAGGUAUCAGAAGUGCGAAUGCUGACAUAAGUAACGAUAAAGCGGGUGAAAAGCCCGCUCGCCGGAAGACCAAGGGUUCCUGUCCAACGUUAAUCGGGGCAGGGUGAGUCGACCCCUAAGGCGAGGCCGAAAGGCGUAGUCGAUGGGAAACAGGUUAAUAUUCCUGUACUUGGUGUUACUGCGAAGGGGGGACGGAGAAGGCUAUGUUGGCCGGGCGACGGUUGUCCCGGUUUAAGCGUGUAGGCUGGUUUUCCAGGCAAAUCCGGAAAACCAAGGCUGAGGCGUGAUGACGAGGCACUACGGUGCUGAAGCGACAAAUGCCCUGCUUCCAGGAAAAGCCUCUAAGCAUCAGGUAACAUCAAAUCGUACCCCAAACCGACACAGGUGGUCAGGUAGAGAAUACCAAGGCGCUUGAGAGAACUCGGGUGAAGGAACUAGGCAAAAUGGUGCCGUAACUUCGGGAGAAGGCACGCUGAUAUGUAGGUGAAGCGACUUGCUCGUGGAGCUGAAAUCAGUCGAAGAUACCAGCUGGCUGCAACUGUUUAUUAAAAACACAGCACUGUGCAAACACGAAAGUGGACGUAUACGGUGUGACGCCUGCCCGGUGCCGGAAGGUUAAUUGAUGGGGUUAGCGGCAACGCGAAGCUCUUGAUCGAAGCCCCGGUAAACGGCGGCCGUAACUAUAACGGUCCUAAGGUAGCGAAAUUCCUUGUCGGGUAAGUUCCGACCUGCACGAAUGGCGUAAUGAUGGCCAGGCUGUCUCCACCCGAGACUCAGUGAAAUUGAACUCGCUGUGAAGAUGCAGUGUACCCGCGGCAAGACGGAAAGACCCCGUGAACCUUUACUAUAGCUUGACACUGAACAUUGAGCCUUGAUGUGUAGGAUAGGUGGGAGGCUUUGAAGUGUGGACGCCAGUCUGCAUGGAGCCGACCUUGAAAUACCACCCUUUAAUGUUUGAUGUUCUAACGUUGGCCCGUAAUCCGGGUUGCGGACAGUGUCUGGUGGGUAGUUUGACUGGGGCGGUCUCCUCCUAAAGAGUAACGGAGGAGCACGAAGGUUGGCUAAUCCUGGUCGGACAUCAGGAGGUUAGUGCAAUGGCAUAAGCCAGCUUGACUGCGAGCGUGACGGCGCGAGCAGGUGCGAAAGCAGGUCAUAGUGAUCCGGUGGUUCUGAAUGGAAGGGCCAUCGCUCAACGGAUAAAAGGUACUCCGGGGAUAACAGGCUGAUACCGCCCAAGAGUUCAUAUCGACGGCGGUGUUUGGCACCUCGAUGUCGGCUCAUCACAUCCUGGGGCUGAAGUAGGUCCCAAGGGUAUGGCUGUUCGCCAUUUAAAGUGGUACGCGAGCUGGGUUUAGAACGUCGUGAGACAGUUCGGUCCCUAUCUGCCGUGGGCGCUGGAGAACUGAGGGGGGCUGCUCCUAGUACGAGAGGACCGGAGUGGACGCAUCACUGGUGUUCGGGUUGUCAUGCCAAUGGCACUGCCCGGUAGCUAAAUGCGGAAGAGAUAAGUGCUGAAAGCAUCUAAGCACGAAACUUGCCCCGAGAUGAGUUCU
rnacentral:rRNA from 1 species